rnacentral:rRNA from 1 species
CUUUACUGUAACCUGGAAUUGGGUUCGGGCUUUGCUUGCGCAGGAUAGGUGGGAGACUAUGAAGCUGCCCUUGUGGGGGCAGUGGAGUCAUCAGUGAGAUACCACUCUGUCAAGGCUAGAAUUCUAACCGUCUGCCGUUAUCCGGCGACGGAACAGUAUCAGGUGGGCAGUUUGACUGGGGCGGUCGCCUCCUAAAUGGUAACGGAGGCGCGCAAAGGUUCCCUCAGGCUGGUUGGAAAUCAGCCGAGGAGUGUAAAGGCAGAAGGGAGCUUGACUGCAAGAGCAACAACUCAAGCAGGGACGAAAGUCGGCCUUAGUGAUCCGACGGUAUGCGCGUGGAAGUGCCGUCGCUCAACGGAUAAAAGUUA